UGAACCAGUACCGUGAGGGAAAGGCGAAAAGAACCCCGGCGAGGGGAGUGAAAAAGAACCUGAAACCGUGUACGUACAAGCAGUGGGAGCACAGGUUUACCUGUGUGACUGCGUACCUUUUGUAUAAUGGGUCAGCGACUUAUAUUCUGUAGCAAGGUUAACCGUAUAGGGGAGCCGUAGGGAAACCGAGUCUUAACCGGGCGUUAAGUUGCAGGGUAUAGACCCGAAACCCGGUGAUCUAGCCAUGGGCAGGUUGAAGGUUGGGUAACACUAACUGGAGGACCGAACCGACUAAUGUUGAAAAAUUAGCGGAUGACCUGUGGCUGGGGGUGAAAGGCCAAUCAAACCGGGAGAUAGCUGGUUCUCCCCGAAAGCUAUUUAGGUAGCGCCUCGUGAAUUCAUCUCCGGGGGUAGAGCACUGUUUCGGCUAGGGGGCCAUCCCGGCUUACCAACCCGAUGCAAACUGCGAAUACCGGAGAAUGUUAUCACGGGAGACACACGGCGGGUGCUAACGUCCGUCGUGAAGAGGGAAACAACCCAGACCGCCAGCUAAGGUCCCAAAGUCAUGGUUAAGUGGGAAACGAUGUGGGAAGGCCCAGACAGCCAGGAUGUUGGCUUAGAAGCAGCCAUCAUUUAAAGAAAGCGUAAUAGCUCACUGGUCGAGUCGGCCUGCGCGGAAGAUGUAACGGGGCUAAACCAUGCACCGAAGCUGCGGCAGCGAACGUAUCACCCAAGACAACUUUACGGAGUUGACGAUUGACGGAGCGAAGCGACGUCAAAGCGUUCAUUAAAGUCGAGUUGGCUUAGGGAUACGUUCGUUGGGUAGGGGAGCGUUCUGUAAGCCUGUGAAGGUGUGUCGUGAGGCAUGCUGGAGGUAUCAGAAGUGCGAAUGCUGACAUAAGUAACGAUAAAGCGGGUGAAAAGCCCGCUCGCCGGAAGACCAAGGGUUCCUGUCCAACGUUAAUCGGGGCAGGGUGAGUCGACCCCUAAGGCGAGGCCGAAAGGCGUAGUCGAUGGGAAACGGGUUAAUAUUCCCGUACUUGGUGUUACUGCGAAGGGGGGACGGAGAAGGCUAUGUUGGCCGGGCGACGGUUGUCCCGGUUUAAGCGUGUAGGUGUGUGUUCCAGGUAAAUCCGGUUCACUUUAACACUGAGGCGUGACGACGAGGCACUACGGUGCUGAAGCAACAAAUGCCCUGCUUCCAGGAAAAGCCUCUAAGCAUCAGGUAACAC
rnacentral:rRNA from 1 species